UGAUCAGCUUUGAUGGAGAAGAGUAAGCGGGGCCCCGCCGCACAGAGAGCCUGUGGAUGGUGAGAACAGGACGGCCGCCCCGCCGAAUGGACUCCUGAGCCGGUCCGGCGAAUGGUUGUAGCCGGUCCCGUGUGCCCGCGUUAAGGGCUAGAGCGGCCUUCGGGCAAUGCGGGUGGUACCGCGGCUGAUUGAACAUCAUCCGUCCCUUUU
rnacentral:ncRNA from 1 species